UACGUAGGGUGCGAGCGUUAAUCGGAAUUACUGGGCGUAAAGCGUGCGCAGGCGGUUCGUUGUGCCGUCGUGAAAGCCCCGGGCUUAACUCGGAAAGGUCAACUGAUACUGUGCGACUAGAGUGCAGAAGGGGCAACUGGAAUUCUCGGUGUAGCGGUGAAAUGCGUAGAUAUCGAGAGGAACACCUGCGGCGAAGGCGGGUUGCUGGGCUGACACUGACGCUGAUGCGCGAAAGCCAGGGGAGCGAACAGG
rnacentral:rRNA from 1 species